UACGUAGGGACCAAGCGUUGUUCGGAUUUACUGGGCGUAAAGGGCUCGUAGGCGGCAAUUCAAGUCAUCUGUGAAAUCUCCGGGCUUAACUCGGAACGGUCAGAUGAUACUGCUUUGCUAGAGUGCGGAAGGGGCAAUCGGAAUUCUUGGUGUAGCGGUGAAAUGCGUAGAUAUCAAGAGGAACACCUGAGGUGAAGACGGGUUGCUGGGCCGACACUGACGCUGAGUGCGCGAAAGCCAGGGGAGCAAACGGG
rnacentral:rRNA from 1 species